rnacentral:lncRNA from 1 species
CUAGGGAGCAGGAAUAGCAAGUGCAAAGGGCCUCAGGUGGAAGCACGCUGGCACACUUAAGGAACAGCCAGGGAGCAAGUGUGGCUGGAGUGUGGUGGGGAAGAGGGAGGGGGUGGAACAUGAGAUUGGAGGUCACCUGGGCCAGAUCACACAGGCCAGAAAAUGAUGAGAAGUGAUUGGAGAGAAGUGACAGGAAGAUGUUUUGAAAGAAUCCCCCUGGCUGCUGUGAAGAUAACAGAAGAAAACAGAGAGAUUACAGCUGACCUUUGGAAAGAUAGGCGACAACGUAGGACAGUGUAAGAGCCAAUGAAGGGAGCAAACAUCAG